rnacentral:lncRNA from 1 species
AAUGAUCAGAUUGAUGGAAGACACAGCAGGUAGGUCGAAGGUAUCUCUACCCUAUGGAAUGGCAUUAACACUAGUAUUUCAAGAGCAUGGGAUAGACCUUGAGAGAGAGACCACUCAAGCCCUCUUGCACAUAGAUACUUACAAUGAGCAUUCACUACUUCGUAUGAGAUUUUAGAGAGAUGGAGGUCGUUGGAUUCAUAGAGGUGAGGACUCAGAUGAAGAUGAGACUUUGGUAGCAGUACCGAUGACAGAUGUUCAGACUG